rnacentral:rRNA from 1 species
GACGAACGCUGGCGGCGUGCUUAACACAUGCAAGUCGAGCGAGAAAGCUCCUUCGGGAGCGAGUACAGCGGCGGACGGGUGAGUAACACGUGGGCAACCUGCCUCAUAGAGGGGAAUAGCCUUUCGAAAGGAAGAUUAAUACCGCAUAAGAUUGUAGCUUCGCAUGAAGUAGCAAUUAAAGGAGCAAUCCGCUAUGAGAUGGGCCCGCGGCGCAUUAGCUAGUUGGUGAGGUAACGGCUCACCAAGGCGACGAUGCGUAGCCGACCUGAGAGGGUGAUCGGCCACAUUGGGACUGAGACACGGCCCAGACUCCUACGGGAGGCAGCAGUGGGGAAUAUUGCACAAUGGGGGAAACCCUGAUGCAGCAACGCCGCGUGAGUGAUGACGGCCUUCGGGUUGUAAAGCUCUGUCUUCAGGGACGAUAAUGACGGUACCUGAGGAGGAAGCCACGGCUAACUACGUGCCAGCCGCCGCCGUAAAAC